UUUUAAACAACAUUUGAAACUUACUGAAUGAAGUGAUAAAUUAAAAUAACUGUGGUACGAGACUUUUUAACCAUUGACAACCUGCCAGCAUCAAGUGCCGGCUGAAUUGGGGAUGGCAAUACUUACCCAUUUAACUUAAUCCAACUGGUAGAUUAGAUUAUCUAUUUAAUAAAAUAGUCUUAUCAAUAUUUAGAUUCUAGACCCAUUUAAUAUAUAGGUAGAGUUCGGAUUGACAAGUUUUUUUCUUUUUUUUAUCCAAUUGGUCUGACCCGGCCUGAUUGCCACCCCUCAUUGGAUGCUGAGUAAUAAAUUCUGGAGAGAUUUUAAGUUGAAUAAGCUGCCAGAUUUAUUAGCACAGCAGGCACUGCCCAAAUAAAAAAUAAAAUAAACUACAAUAAAAAUCAGAUUAGAGGUUUUUCGGUGGGGAUGACCUGGGUGAACUCUUAGAGCUUUGGUUGCAAAAUAAUCUGAUAAAACUUCAGGUGAAAAGACUUCUCAAAAGCUGAUCAGCGUGGAGCAAUGCAUAGUACCUACGUCCAGCAAGUAUUGCUUGACAAUAUUUUCAAGGAGCCGAGCAGAGCACAGAGUUCUUCCUCAACCAUCACACAAAAAACUGUUAAAAAUUGUUCUCAAUGGCUUACCUGCUUAAAUAAAAACACCAUGCUGCGUACACAAUCAAGACCUAACGUUUAUAGCAUUUAAAACCAAGCAAACUUAACCAUCUCACUGAAACAGGUUCGCCAGAAAUCCUAACAGAAGCAAAACAAAGUGCCACCUAAACGAGUACAGACUAUCUUAAGUCCACAUCCCUCAUGUAAACCCAAGAGUCCACUAAAAAGACAUUGUCAUCAUGCUCGAUAUAGAUGCAAUAAUAAUGCUUUCUCCUCCUCUUUCAAACAAAGCUAAUAUACGAUGGAAGAGUAUUUGCUGCAGUGCUUGCUUCGAAAAUACUUCAAUCCUCUUCUCUCUCGGGAGGAAGUCCACAAGGCAACAGCAUUUUCUGUAAGAAAGAUCAAGAAGUAAACUACCAUGCAAUUCAAAUUAGCAAAACACAAGGAACUAUUUGCGCACAAAAUUUGGGGAUAUUUGCAUUCUUCCAGAAUGGUUCAAGUCAUCUUUAGUUCUUUUUUCAUCAAAAGGAAUAGCAUAUCUU
rnacentral:lncRNA from 1 species